GUCACUCUAUGAGUUCAAGAACAGCCUGAU
rnacentral:piRNA from 1 species